GACGUAGGGCGCAAGCGUUGUCCGGAUUUAUUGGGCGUAAAGAGCGUGUAGGCGGUCCGGUAAGUCCGCUGUGAAAACUCGAGGCUCAACCUCGAGACGCCGAUGGAAACCAUUUGGCUAGAGUCCGGAAGAGGAGAGUGGAAUUCCUGGUGUAGCGGUGAAAUGCGUAGAUAUCGAGAGGAACACCUGCGGCGAAGGCGGGUUGCUGGGCUGAUACUGACGCUGAGGCGCGAAAGCCAGGGGAGCGAACGGG
rnacentral:rRNA from 1 species